rnacentral:rRNA from 1 species
UUUGGUGGUAUACGAUGGAUCCGCGUCUGAUUAGCUUGUUGGCGGGGUAAAGGCCCACCAAGGCGACGAUCAGUAGCCGGCCUGAGAGGGUGAACGGCCACAUUGGGACUGAGACACGGCCCAAACUCCUACGGGAGGCAGCAGUGGGGAAUAUUGCACAAUGGGGGAAACCCUGAUGCAGCGACGCCGCGUGAGUGAAGAAGUAUUUCGGUACGUAAAGCUCUAUCAGCAGGGAAGAAAAUGACGGUACCUGACUAAGAAGCCCCGGCUAACUACGUGCCAGCAGCCGCGGUAAUACGUAGGGGGCAAGCGUUAUCCGGAUUUACUGGGUGUAAAGGGAGCGUAGACGGCAGCGCAAGUCUGAAGUGAAAUCCCAUGGCUUAACCAUGGAACUGCUUUGGAAACUGUGCAGCUGGAGUGCAGGAGAGGUAAGCGGAAUUCCUAGUGUAGCGGUGAAAUGCGUAGAUAUUAGGAGGAACACCAGUGGCGAAGGCGGCUUACUGGACUGUAACUGACGUUGAGGCUCGAAAGCGUGGGGAGCAAACAGGAUUAGAUACCCUGGUAGUCCACGCUGUAAACGAUGAU